GUGUGUGUGUGUGUGUGUGUGUGUGUGUGGCAUUGUCUUUUUGCCACCAGAUCCAGCUGAAUGCUACACACGGCUCCUUUAGAGGAAGCGGUGUGGCACAUUAAACGGAUGCUGACAGACGAGGGCAGAAGUGAUCUUUCUAGCGUUUUGGGUGCGUUUUGUUUUACAAAUGUUUAUUCGAGCGGAGAAUGACGACAUUUCUGUUAAGAAAAGACGGCUUUGAGGCAUCCAGAAAAAUUAAAUGUUGGACUUGAUCAGACAAAGAACAGUGGAAAACCCACCUGAGCCUGAUGUGCAAAUUAUGCAAACUAAAGAGCAGCUCCAUCUAAAUAAAAUAGACACAACUUUUUUAUUCUCCGUCUUACCUCAAAACAAUACUUUUUGUCUUGCAGUUAACAUGCAAUACAUUUUGAUUUAACACAAGAAAGUCGGUUCCUGAUUCAGGUCUUUGGUAACAUUUAGAGCUCCUCCCCUUCUUUUCAUCCUUUUGGGUUAAAUGCAUGGCGUAAAGACGAUCAUGGAACAGAAAGGUGACUAAUGACAAAUAACCAUUAAGCAGGAUGAUUUCAUUUUAAACCCCGAGUGGGCAGAAAAAGAAAAAACCUUCCAUAGACACAACUCUAAUCUAUAAAUCAGCCGACAUAGAGCAACAUGAGCAUUCUUUUGGAGCUUGCGGGGUGUAAGAUUUACUAUCUCUCUUAUCCAAGUUAUUGUCUCCAUGAACUAAAAGGAUCUGGAUUUUAAGCUAACUAGAUAUGUGAUUUUCUGCACCAGACGUAGGAAUUACCAGACUAAGACACCUGUGUGUGUGUGUGUGCGUGCAGUGGGAUCCUGGAUUUAAUGUAAAUGCACGCCACUCUGAACCGUAAAUCUAUCACAAAGAGAAACACAGGUGGUGUACAGAAGAAGCCAACACAUAAAGCAUACGUGGCGGGGUUAUUGGGGAGCGAUUGGCAUGUUUCGGGCUCUGCGUGCUUCACAUUCUUAGCUGAUGACCUCUGUGAAAAAUAACAACAGCCGGGCUUGAAGGUCACGCUGUCAUGGCCACCGCCUGAGGCUGGUUCCUGGUACCGAACUGGAUGUUUCUAAGCCUCGUGCUGCUCUGUGCUGUAAUCGUGUGAUCUGGUGGGGGAGAUGUUCGGCACGGUGAUUGAGAAGACAUCGGUUUUUAGUUUAUUUUAUGAGAUGAGAUCAGAUAAACAAAAAAUAGCCAAAUGUACAGUAAACG
ensembl:lncRNA